rnacentral:tRNA from 3 species
GACUCCGUAGCUCAAUCGGCAGAGCAGGGGACUUUUAAUCCCAAGGUUUUGGGUUCGAUUCCCAACGGAGUCA